CGAGUAGUCCUAGCCGUAAACGCUGUGUACUAGAUGUUACGUAUUCCACGUGGAUAUGUAGUGUCGGAGCGAAGGCAUUAAGUACACCGCCUGGGAAGUACGGUCGCAAGGCUGAAACUUAAAGGAAUUGGCGGGGGAGCACCACAAGGGGUGCGGCGUGCGGUUUAAUCUAACUUCACGCAGAGAAUCUCACCAGCAGCGACGGCAGAAUGAAGGUCAGAUUAAAUGUCUUACCCAACGAGCCGAGAGGUAGUGCAUGGCCGUCGUCAGCUCGUGCCGUAAGGUGUCCUCUUAAGUGAGGUAACGAGCGAGACCCAUACCCAUAAUUGCUAGCAGGUCCUUUUGGAUGACUGAGCACCUUAUGGGGACUGCUGUGGAAACGCAGAGGAAGGUGUGGGCUACGAUAGGUCUGUAUGCUCCGAAUCUGCUGGGCUACACGCGCGCAACAAUGGCGAGGACAAUGGGCUGCCACACCGAAAGGUGAAGCCAAACCUCGAAACCUCGUCUUAGUUUAGAUUGAUGGCUGUAAUUCGCCCUCAUGACAACGGAAUCCCUAGUAAUCGGACUUCAACAUGGUCCGGUGAAUAUGUCCCUGCUCUUUGCACACACCGCCCGUCAAACCAACCGAGUUGGGU
rnacentral:rRNA from 1 species